rnacentral:lncRNA from 1 species
ACGGCUUGGUGAUCUUCUCAAUUCAAGUACUGGACUAUUAAGAUCUAAAAUUUAAUUUUAAAACUAAUUAUAUGAACAUGUAAAUUAUCAUACAAUCUAUGCGUACACAUGAUCAUAUAAAUAUGUUGUGCAUCUAAUCAUAUUAGAUCAACGCAUAAGUUUAUUUCAGAUCUGAACUUAUUUUUAUAUAGCAUAUAAAAUUAUUAAUUUAGAUCUGAAAUAAUCUAAAAAUCUAUUUCAAAAAUGUGUAUGAUGGCAUAAAAAAUUCUGA